rnacentral:rRNA from 1 species
AUUGGUCAAUGGGCGUAAGCCUGAACCAGCCAUCCCGCGUGAAGGAAGAAGGCGCUAUGCGUUGUAAACUUCUUUUCCAGGGGAAGAAAACCCCCGACGUGUCGGGGCUUGCCGGUACCUUGGGAAUAAGCAUCGGCUAACUCCGUGCCAGCAGCCGCGGUAAUACGGAGGAUGCGAGCGUUAUCCGGAUUCAUUGGGUUUAAAGGGUGCGUAGGCGGACUAAUAAGUCAGUGGUGAAAACCUGCAGCUUAACUGUAGACGUGCCAUUGAUACUGUCAGUCUUGAGUAUGGUCAAGGUAGGCGGAAUGUGUAAUGUAGCGGUGAAAUGCUUAGAUAUUACACAGAACACCGAUUGCGAAGGCAGCUUACUGGACCAUUACUGACGCUGAUGCACGAAAGCGUGGGGAGCGAACAGGAUUAGAUACCCUGGUAGUCCACGCCGUAAACGAUGAUCACUCGCUGUUGGCGAUACACAGUCAGCGGCUAAGCAAAAGCAUUAAGUGAUCCACCUGGGGAGUACGGCCGCAAGGCUGAAACUCAAAGGAAUUGACGG